rnacentral:rRNA from 1 species
AUUGCCUUAGUAACGGCGAGUGAAGCGGCAAAAGCUCAGAUUUGAAAUCUGUCGUCAUUUUGGCGGCCGAGUUGUAAUCUGUAGAGGAGUAUUCGAGUGUGGCUUUGGCUUAAGUUCCUUGGAACAGGGCGUCAUAGAGGGUGAGAACCCCGUUAACGGCCUUUGUCUUAUGCUCAUGUGAAUCUCCUUCAACGAGUCGAGUUGUUUGGGAAUGCAGCUCUAAAUGGGUGGUAAAUUCCAUCUAAAGCUAAAUACUGGCAAGAGACCGAUAGCGCACAAGUAGAGUGAUCGAAAGAUGAAAAGAACUCUGAACAGAGAGUUAAAUAGUACGUGAAAUUGUUGAAAGGGAAGCACUUGCGACCAGACGCACUUGUAGCCGAUCAACCUCCAUUCUUGGUGGUGCACUCGGUUGUAGGUGGGUCAGCAUCAGUUACGGCGGUGGGAAAAAGACCAAGGGAAUGUGGCUCUCUUCGGGGAGUGUUAUAGUCCUUGGUGUAAUGCUGCCAGCUGUGACUGAGGACCGCGCUUCGGUGAGGAUGCUGACAUAAUGGUCGUAAGUGACCCGUCUUGAAACACGGACCAAGGAGUCUAACAUCUAUGCGAGUGUUUGGGUGUUCAAACCCUUACGCGUAAUGAAAGUAAAUGGAGGUGGGAACCGCAAGGUGCACCAUCGACCGAUCCUGAUGUUUUCGGAUGGAUUUGAGUAGGAGCAUAGCUGUUGGGACCCGAAAGAUGGUGAACUAUGCCUGAAUAGGGUGAAGCCAGAGGAAACUCUGGUGGAGGCUCGCAGCGGUUCUG